AACGAACGCUGGCGGCACGCCUAACACAUGCGAGUCGAACGAGACCUUCGGGUCUAGUGGCGCACGGGUGCGUAACGCGUGGGAACCUGCCCUUAGGUUCGGAAUAACUCCCCGAAAGGGGUGCUAAUACCGGAUAAUGUCUUCGGACCAAAGAUUUAUCGCCUUUGGAUGGGCCCGCGUUGGAUUAGCUAGUUGGUAGGGUAAAAGCCUACCAAGGCGACGAUCCAUAGCUGGUCUGAGAGGAUGAUCAGCCACACUGGGACUGAGACACGGCCCAGACUCCUACGGGAGGCAGCAGUGGGGAAUAUUGGACAAUGGGCGAAAGCCUGAUCCAGCAAUGCCGCGUGAGUGAUGAAGGCCUUAGGGUUGUAAAGCCCUUUUACCCGGGAUGAUAAUGACAGUACCGGGAGAAUAAGCUCCGGCUAACUCCGUG
rnacentral:rRNA from 1 species